rnacentral:rRNA from 1 species
CUACGCAGGGUGCGAGCGUUGUCCGGAAUUACUGGGCGUAAAGAGCUCGUAGGUGGUUUGUCGCGUCGUCUGUGAAAUUCCGGGGCUUAACUCCGGGCGUGCAGGCGAUACGGGCAUAACUUGAGUACUGUAGGGGAGACUGGAAUUCCUGGUGUAGCGGUGAAAUGCGCAGAUAUCAGGAGGAACACCGGUGGCGAAGGCGGGUCUCUGGGCAGUAACUGACGCUGAGGAGCGAAAGCAUGGGUAGCGAACAGGAUUAGAUACCCUGGUAGUCCAUGCCGUAAACGGUGGGCGCUAGGUGUAGGGGUCUUCCACGACUUCUGUGCCGUAGCUAACGCAUUAAGCGCCCCGCCUGGGGAGUACGGCCGCAAGGCUAAAACUCAAAUGAAUUGACGGGG